UUAUGAUAAUGGCAAACUUAUUGAAAGAUAAGGACGCAAAGCUACGGAUCUAAGGCUUAUAAGCUAGGACCGCCGGGUUACCAAG
rnacentral:ncRNA from 1 species